CCAAUGGUGGAACGUUACCAAACUGUUUGCCUCGGCGGGGUCACGCCCCGGGUGCGUUAUAAGCCCCGGAACCAGGCGCCCGCCGGAGGAACCAACCAAACUCUUUCUGUAGUCCCCUCGCGGACGUAUUUCUUACAGCUCUGAGCAAAAAUUCAAAAUGAAUCAAAACUUUCAACAACGGAUCUCUUGGUUCUGGCAUCGAUGAAGAACGCAGCGAAAUGCGAUAAGUAAUGUGAAUUGCAGAAUUCAGUGAAUCAUCGAAUCUUUGAACGCACAUUGCGCCCGCCAGUAUUCUGGCGGGCAUGCCUGUCCGAGCGUCAUUUCAACCCUCGAACCCCUCCGGGGGAUCGGCGUUGGGGAUCGGGACCCCUCACCGGGUGCCGGCCCUGAAAUACAGUGGCGGUCUCGCCGCAGCCUCUCCUGCGCAGUAGUUUGCACAACUCGCACCGGGAGCGCGGCGCGUCCACGUCCGUAAAACACCCAACUUCUGAAAUGUUGACCUCGGAUCAGGUAGGAAUACCCGCUGAACUUAAGCAUAUCAAUAAG
rnacentral:rRNA from 1 species